CGUGUAGUGAACUCUAAAGCUUUACCUCAAGAGAUACCCUCCGCGCCUCUCGUACUAAGGUAAAAUAUAAUCGGGUUAUCGUGCCCCUCUCUAAUAAGCUGGUCCACGGAAACCCCAACUGCAGUGACUAAUCAAUAUCCCACCAAAUCAAUAAAAGUUUCGACAGCAUGACAUGACAAUUAUAUUACUACCUAGCCUGUUAAGGCAAAACAAAUAGUUCAUACAAUUUCAACACAAUUUCCAAUUCAACCAUUUAUGCUAAUAUCACCAUAAGCCAUUCAAUUCAAACCAUAAAUUUACAAUACAAUCAAACAUUCUCCAAUUACUCAAUUUCUAAAAUCAUCAUUCAAUUUCAAAAUGAUUUAUAAAACUCAUUUCAUUUAAUCACAUUUUACUUAUAAAACAUAAGGAUUUACCAUUUAAACUCAUUUUUCUAUAAAAUCACAAAAACGAAUAAAAACUACUUUAGAUAACUAAGACGAUAAUAAGGUUACUCACAAUAUCGGGAGUCGAUGUACUCCUAAGCCCGGUCUUCGAGUACAAUCUCCUUACCGUUAUCGGAAGUUUCACCACCUAAACAUAAUGCACAACAAGCAAUUUAUUAUAUUUGUAUUAAACCGUUAUAAAACUAAUUUAGGCUCUAUAUAAAUGCAUGAAAUGGGAUGCGAAAUGUUCAUAUUAUUAUCUAAAUAUGGUGUUCUAUGUAGUUUCAAUUAUGUAUCGAAAUAAAAUGGUAUUGGCCUAAUUCGAUCUAUACACCGGUUAAUUGGCCAAUACAUCCAAUUCAACUUCGAUUAACUUGAUUCCACUUCCAACACUCCAAGUCAUCAAUUACAAGUUAAAUAAUAUGUAAUAUCACAAAAAUCCAUCAUCAAUAUCUUCCUUGUAAAAUUCGGCCAUUGAAGGUUUAGUGUAGAAUAUGUAAUUUUCAUGCUUGAUUUUUACACCUUACAUCAUAAAACAACUAAAAUCACCUAAAUAGCAUGAAAUUCAUCAAAGUCCAUUAUCCAAUUUCUCUCUUGAAAUUUCAGCCAAGGAGUGUGGGUGAAGGGCAUGAAAUGUCUUGCUUGUUUUUCAUGCUAAACAUUACCAAACAACUAAAAACACUAAGAUACCUUGAAAUCUAACCAAAUAAAUCAUCAAAUCUUCUCUCCCUAAAAUCGGUCAGCCAUGAAUCCUUCAUGAGAUCUUGAAUUUUAACCAUGGUAAUUGAAAAGAAUGCAUAGGAAAGGUAGAUCACAAGCUAGAAUUAAGAAAUUUUACCUUUACUUGCUUAAUUCCUUGAAAUCCAAUAAAUUUUCUCUUGAUUUUCUUCUCUAGGGUUUGUUCUAAGCUUUUUCCCUUUUGUUCUUAGCUUGGCCGGC
rnacentral:lncRNA from 1 species